UCCAACUUUUGCUUCAUGUGGCAAAAACACCUCCCCCCCCCAAACACAUAGAAUCAUCGACAGCCAUCUUUUUUUUUUUUUUUCUGAGGGGGUCAGAUUUUCCAUCGAGGUGGUGGUAAUUCACCAUGUCAGGUGCACAGUAAUCGGGACCUCUGGUCAGCUUGCUAGUCUAUUCCAUGUGUAAUCUGUAGGUGGCAGCACUGGAAUUUGAGACUAGUAAAGACGCUGUGGCUGACUGGUAAGAGCUCUGUGUUGGGAGCGAGCACUUUGGCUUUGAAUCCUCAGAGGGAGGUUAUUGGAUGCACCCAAUAGCGACGCUGUCUGGCUCUGAGACGUCUUCUCCAUCUGGAAACAAGGAUUAGAGCAUGGAAGCCAAAGUGAAGGUGGUCCGGCAUCAUCUUUGCAGUCUUCAGAGUGAGCUUCUGAGGGGAGGACUUCCGAAUUGCCCUAAGAUGCAUAUAAGAAGCUUUGCAGUAGGCCAUACGUUUGAAGCCAAGAGAUUCGAUUGCAAUCUUCCAGCUUUUCAUCUUCACUGUGUGCCAAUUUUGUUGAGAAGAAUCUGUGGUAAUAAGGAGCAGCAGGCCAUCCAUUGAGGUCAAGGAGCUCAUGAACUUUUAUACAACAAACCCAUCGCUGAUACGGCAAAGGGAAGUGAUGAGGAGAGAAGAAAAGCAUAGGUCUGUCAGCGUCUUUUCCCGGUAGCUCCUCUCUGCUGUAAUAUUAUAGUGCGAGACAAAUUUUGUGGCGGAAAUACACUUUUCAGAGUCUGAAUACUUUGGGACAGUCCAUCGCUUACAGAUUGUCCCGACAAGUUGGCUGGAAAUUUUGGGAACAUGAUACCUGGGAAGUAAUAUGGAGAAACAUAAUUAAUGUGUGUCGCAAAAGUUAGAAUUUAAAGGGGUUAUCCAACCCUCUAUAAUGACUGCCCAAUGCCUGGAGCGCUCAUAUGGAUUCUACUUACCCCGCUCCCCACGCAACCGCUGCUGCAUCUCCAUGCCACGCGGAUCAAAUUUCCGUUGAAAGGGAAACCUGCCAAUAGCAGGCCGUGGCGAGGAUGGGCCUCACUAGCAUGUUUUGAUCCGCACCAUGGGGAGAUACAGUGGCGGCCAUGCGGGGAUCAGAAGCGAUGUAGGUGCCAGGGCGAGUGCUCACUAUAAUCCAUUGGAGGAGCUGAGGCAUUAGGAUGGGGGGGGGGGGGGGGCCUUGUAGGGUGAUGGUCAUUACAGGGUAAGAAUUAUAUGUGACAUUUUUGAUAUUUACUUUCUGUGGUACUGAAUGAUGUCAUUGGACACGUUGUGAAUCUCCAAUCCUUUGGUUGAUAAGAAAAAUAUGUCCUUUGGUGUGUCUCUUUUAAUCAGAGUUGGUCCAACUUUCGUAAAGUAAACUUUAAACCACUAGGAGGAAAGUAAAUUAGUGAGAAGACUGAAAAGCCACAUUUAAACUUCAAAUGUUGAGAUUAAGGGAAAUCUUACCAUUUAUUCCUCCCUAGUUAGCACAAACGAAGUAACUUGUUACGUAGCGGUCUUGUGAUUUCGAACACCAAUGUUAAACCUUGCAGUAUCUUUAUAGGUGUGUUGGAUCCUGUCUUUCCACUCAGAAACCUAUGGGUUAAGAGAGAUAAAUUUAGUAGUUUUCGUAAUUUUGGAUUCGUCCUUGGGCAGCCUUGAUUUCAUCUAAGAAGUAAGAAGAAAGGUUUUCCUACAUCCAGGAGCUUCAUACAUUCAGUAUGGCGUCUUCAUAGUAAUGUUCAGAGUCAGGUACCUAAAAUAAGACAAAGAUAUUGUGUGUGUGUGUGUGUGUGUGUAUAUAUAUAUAUAUAUAU